UUGGAGGGCAAGUCUGGUGCCAGCAGCCGCGGUAAUUCCAGCUCCAAUAGCGUAUAUUAAAGUUGUUGCAGUUAAAAAAGCUCGUAGUUGAAUUUCGGGGUUCUACCGUUGGUCGGGCUAACCAGUCUGUACUAGCGUGUAAGAAUUCCUACCUUCUGGGGAACCAUCAUGUUAUUAAUUUAGCGUGGUGGGAAACCNGGACCUUUACCUUGAAAAAAUUAGAGUGUUCAAAGCAGGCUUACGUCUGAAUACAUUAGCAUGGAAUAAUAAAAUAGGACGGUGGUCCUGUUUUG
rnacentral:rRNA from 1 species